AAGAAGAGCUGAGUACUCUGGGAUAUUUCAAACUGGUUCCUUUUUCCCCUCACUCUGCUGGAAGCUGGAGAAGAUUUUUCUCCAAUAUUUUCUUAGGGAACCUGGUCAAGGUCUAGAAGGUAAAUCUCACCCUAUUGUGGGGUCCCCCUAUGAAUCAGUCUCUGUGGAGUUUUUGACUCUCAGACUUGUCUGGGCUGAGCCUCCAGUAAUUUGUCAGUUGGAGUUCCCGGUUUCCUGCCCGGCUUUUGGUCCCCAAGGGUGCUGCGCACUGUGCCUGGUACAUAAAUAAGAAGAAUACUUUCAAUCAAUGACUUUGUUGCCACCUUCACCUGCCCAGAGGAGAGGAGGACUUCCUGAGUGCAAACAUAUUUUGUGGGGCCUUUGUUGAAAAAAAAAAAAAAACAAUGGAAAGAAUGGAAUACUUGGAAAACACAUAUUUUAAACGGUUGGACAAAGAUAGCUGGUGCAUUUUUUUCUUCCUGCCAAGCCGUUUCCAUUUAGGAUUCAACAAAACCACAGUUCGACAUUGGAUUUAGAACCAAAUUUUCAAAGAAACACAUUGCCGGGGAACAUGCGCGGGAUUCCCACUGAUAAUCGCAUAAAACACGAAAGGAUGGAAUCUGACUGCCCAGUAUGGUUUCUCCUUCUGGCAUAUCAGGCUUAACGGACCUGAGCAGAACGUAGGGAAGUGAAUGUGCUGUGCGGUAUCAUCUUCUCUGUGGCCCCAUGUGCAGUAUCAAUGAAUCUGGACUAACAUGUGGUGCAUUCUUCAGGCCAGAUGCAGGAGAGAGGAGCAUUUAGCCCUUGAUUUGAAAAUGACAAAUGGACAAGGAAAAGCAAGCUUGCUGCAAACAAGGAUGUUCCUCCGUUCCAUGUAUCGACACAAAACUACCCAGUGAUUCUUCACAGUGCCCUCAUUUAAUGACUGCAAUAGCAAAUCCUUUUCUGUUACAAAGUCCAAAAGAAAUUCAGAAGUUGGUUUUUCCCUAGAUUCUCCGUGGUUUCUGCAGCACCACGGGGCCUUCUGUUGCUGCAUUUGUGGUGGUUUCAUCAGACUGAGAUGGUGGCCCGAGGGGUGGCGGGAAGUUCUCCGCCUGCAGGCACUGCCGGGCCGCACCUGUCCUCUGUGCCCGCAGCUCACUGCGUUUUUUGGCAUAAUCAACUGCUCUUUAGUGGCCCUUGGAGGAGUGGAUGCUGAAACCCCCAACCAGUCAUUUUGCUUCUGGAUGAUGUUGAUUCUGUAACUUGCAACCAGUGCCAGAGCUCAGGGGAGGGCCUUCCUUCCCCAGCCCACCACUCCACUAUUCCAGGGCCAUAGCCUCGAGCUCCAGAUUGCAAAGAUGCUCAUGAGAGAGUUUUAAGGUAACCACUUCUUUUCACAGAUGGUCCACAUCAGAUGUAGCUCAGGUUUACAGUUGAUUGAGAGAGAUUUGCAGAUAAGAGCAAAGCCAGGAACUGCAACCAGAUGCCAUUGCCCUAGAGGUCCCAGGUACAGCCCCAGGGUGACUGGCCACAUGGCCUUGGCUGAGGGUCCUAGACCGGAGUGAUGCUUAGCACCCGAGAGCCUCCCAGCCCAGUGCAUUGAUGUCUCUAAUUCUUCCUCAGUGUUUAUUCAGUUGUAAACUCUGUACUCUUAUUUGAGCAACCGUUAUACUUGUUCUCAGGAAACCAAAAACCAAAAGGGGAAGGUCCUGGUACUAAUAAAAAAAAAUCACUGUUGAAAUGUAUAAUUGUUAUUUUGGCAAAACUAUGAAGAAUAAAAUGAUUCUGUUUGUGACAACCUAGUUCAUCUAUUCUCUCAUUUUGAGUUUAUAAUUCUGGCUUGAAGUCCCAGAUCACUGUUCCCUGCCAAAAUGUACAGUCUCUGUGCCUGAAUAGCUCAGAAUAGAUUGUUCAGUAUAAAGGAGAAUUCCCUUGUUCCAUCCAAAGGAUUAUAAGGCCGUGGUGUGCAUCUUGCUGCUGAGCUUGAGAUCCUGAAAAGUCGGUUUUGGUUUGCUGUGACUUAUCUGAGGUUUUCCCUGCCUCCAAGCUCCACCCUUACUUGUGCACGUCCUCAGAAGGGACUGUUUUAGGAGACUGCACAUGCCGUGAACACAGCAUGGGAUGGGCUUGUCUCGCAGCCCCUGGGCAUCCUGACAUCCGCAGAGAAGACUGUUCUGGAAUUGCUUGAGUAGAUUUAUUGAAUUAGGUUCUGAUUUCUUGAUGAAGGACCUCAUCUGUAUUGUAUUUGCCAUAAGCAAUGCAACUGAUACCCUUUGGACACACCCACAGACUCGAGGCUGUGUGAUAGUGGCUUUUAGGGGAGUCAGGAUUGAAAUAUCACAUUUGUCCCUGAGGCAUACCUGAUCCCAAGCUCUUGGCGCAGAGUUCGAUUAAUCUACUCAAGAUAGAGGUGGUGGCCAGGGCCCUGCAGUCACUUGUGGACCACUGUGGGCAACCUGAAGCCAUAAGCCAAGAUGCAGCCAUUUGUCUUUGUUUAUAAUUUCUCAUCUGAGCUUAUA
ensembl:lncRNA